rnacentral:rRNA from 1 species
UACGUAGGGUGCAAGCGUUAAUCGGAAUUACUGGGCGUAAAGCGUGCGCAGGCGGUUUGGUAAGACAGAUGUGAAAUCCCCGGGCUUAACCUGGGAACUGCAUUUGUGACUGCCCGGCUAGAGUGUGUCAGAGGGGGGUAGAAUUCCACGUGUAGCAGUGAAAUGCGUAGAUAUGUGGAGGAAUACCGAUGGCGAAGGCAGCCCCCCUGGGAUAACACUGACGCUCAUGCACGAAAGCGUGGGGAGCAAACAGG